GGAGCAGUCAUGUGUGAGAGCUAUUGCCAACUCUAAUUAAGCACAGAUUUAAAAUAUAUAUAUAUAUUUACACUGAGAUCAAGUCAAGAUUCCAAACAACCACCCAGAGUGCUAGGAGCUUCACAGAAGACAACACAGGAUGGAGCUGCACGGAACUCUGGCAAAGACUGUCAAGGUCAAAGCAAUGGCACCUUAAUUCAACUUCAGCAUCCUUCAAUGUAAAUGUGAUCUUGGAACAGUUACACUCCCAAAGCCAUUUGUUGGCUCAAAUUCUGAUAGGGUCCAACUCAGGCUGAUUGCAGUGUCCUGCUGAACUGUCUCUCCAGACAUGUGGGAGACCCUAAGCACUGUCAUGAUGGGUGACCAGAAUCAAAAUCGCUUUCAGACCCUGGAUUUUGACAGCCUGUUCUCUUCAGAGGUGAAUGAAGGAGACACAGCCUCAGAGACAAUGCAGCAAAAUCUCUGGUGUCCAGCAAUGAAGUUCUCAGAGCACACUACCUCUGUGCCCAAGAUCGAGCCAUGGACCAAGAAGCUCCCACGAUAUAGCCACUUAGUGUAUGACGCUGAUGUCCAAAUGUCUGACUGGACCCCCGAAGAGACAGACAACUGGAUGAGGUUGACUCUUGCUGCAGCUGUAGUGUGGUCAAUGCGGACCUGCAGAUUUUCUCGACAUGGGAGGAACAACACAUUGCUGGCAUAGCGGCCGCAGCUGCCACAUGUCAUCAUCCCAUGGGAACAGCAAACCCCAAACCC